rnacentral:tRNA from 1 species
GCGGGAGUAACUCAGUUGGUAGAGUGCAACCUUGCCAAGGUUGAUGUCGCCGGUUCGAACCCGGUCUCCCGCUCCA